GGAAAUAAGCUUUGAAAAUGAUUAUAGGGGUUAUCGGCCGCAACUGAAAGUUAACCAGGCAUUUUGAAUUUCUUCCUUGGUCAUCUCGAUACAAGAUGAAUUGGGUCCUCAUUUUAGUUUGAAUUUGAUUACAUAUUGUCCUAAAGUGUGAAUACACUUUAUCAUGUAGAAAAGACAGCCAUGUAAACCUUGUAGUGACUUGUUAUGCCCCAUGCUUAUAUAUGAGUACCCAUCACC
rnacentral:lncRNA from 1 species